rnacentral:siRNA from 1 species
UGGCCUAUUAAAAUUAUACGG